CAUUCGGGGGAAGAAUGUCUGUCGAGGCUUCGUUGCGAUUGUCACGGGCUCGAUGGGAGUUCCGAGUCGUGAUAGAAAACCUAACCAAUCUUCUACCAGAGGCAAGCACAAACAAAAGGUGAGUUCCAACAUGUAGAUGGCUGUAGGUGACAACAAGAAAAUUCUUUUCUGGUUUUAUAGGUGCGUGGAAAGGGGUACCGUCAAGCAGAUUUUCCCCAUAAUAUUUGCCCUUGCAAGCAACAAAAAAGGGUACAUUGAGGAGUACGGUAGAUGGGAGGGUGACACUAGUGUUCUGCUAAAUCCAAAUUAUUAACAAUGAACAAUCAACUUGAUGGAAUUGUUCAUUAUCCUUUUUAGUUUAAUAAAUAUUUGCAUGUUUUCCUAGU